UAGGGAAUCUUCGGCAAUGGACGAAAGUCUGACCGAGCAACGCCGCGUGAGUGAAGAAGGUCUUCGGAUCGUAAAACUCUGUUGUUAGAGAAGAACAAGGACGUUAGUAACUGAACGUCCCCUGACGGUAUCCAACCAGAAAGCCACGGCUAACUACGUGCCAGCAGCCGCGGUAAUACGUAGGUGGCAAGCGUUGUCCGGAUUUAUUGGGCGUAAAGCGAGCGAAGGCGGUUUCUUAAGUCUGAUGUGAAAGCCCCCGGCUCAACCGGGGAGGGUCAUUGGAAACUGGGAGACUUGAGUGCAGAAGAGGAGAGUGGAAUUCCAUGUGUAGCGGUGAAAUGCGUAGAUAUAGGGAGGAACACCAGUGGCGAAGGCGGCUCUCUGGUCUGUAACUGACGCUGAGGCUCGAAAGCGUGGGGAGCAAACAGG
rnacentral:rRNA from 1 species